rnacentral:miRNA from 1 species
UCCUGGACAUCAGGCCUGGCCGAGG